rnacentral:lncRNA from 1 species
CACUGCAAUUUGAGGACACAGGAAAAAGUGUCUAUCUCAAAACCUCAUCUUGACUGCUUUGCAUGUCUUUGGGUCCUGAAUCAUUUUUUCCUCUGCCAUUUUUCUUGCCUUCCGCAUCUAGCCUUCUGAUGGCAAGUUUAGUUUUCCAGUUCUUCAUGGAGGAGUUAUUGGGUAGGCUUGGCAGUUCCAACAGGCAUCAUGACUUGGUUAGUCCCGGUAUGUAAAGGACAGAGUUCACAUGAAGCACACUUUUUUUUUGGCCUCACAAUUUUACCUCACAACUACGCUGUUGGUCGUAGCCCUAGUCAGUGUCCUGAGGAUCACUGCAUGGCUUAACCACAAACACGACUGCUAACUAUCCACACAGAAACAAAACUGGUAGUCUGUGAAAAUCACCAUUAGGUUUUACCUAGUAAACUGCAUCCCAUGAGUUCCCAAUCUCAUUUAUCCUGUUAAAGAAGCAUGUAAUCGACAUGCAAAUGCUUGCAUUUCCCCUGCAGAGACAGUCAUGCAGUUCAACUUUUAGAUUUGUGAAUACUAAAUUAUGAAGGGAAGAAGGGUGAGCUGUGGAUUGCAUGCAUAUUGUCCUCCAUACUUCAAUGACAGUCAUUCACAAAAUGAGUUUUACCUGGGUGAAAUAUUAUUAUAUUAACUAUACAUAAACAUACUUAUUCUCUUUGUAACUUUUUAUCAUCAAAACUGAAUGAUAAAUGUGUCUUGAAAUGAUUGGGUGAAUUGUGACUAAUGGAUCAAAUUAAGUUAGCUACUAUAAUUUUUUUUCAAUAUUAAAAUUUCUAAAAUCUUUUUUGAAGCAGAGUAACUCAGUCAAUAAAAGUGGUUAUGUUGUAAACUUUAAGACGGUGCUUAAGAAUUCUUGUUAAAUACCUUUUUUCUUUUUUAAGAAUAAAUUGAAGGGAGCAAAUGAGGCAGAACGCCACUCUACCCUCAGGUCAAUUUUGUGCUGUGUUAAAAUGCCAAUAACAUUUGUGCCACUUGCCAGUUUGGGGGGCUUUCCCCUUACUGGAUGUUUUCUUAUAGUUUGACUGUGUAUUACAUGGCUUAGAGAGCUUCCACGUGAAGAAGUCACCAUGGCAGUGCUAACUAGCAUUCAUAAACAACCUGAAUGAAUCUAGGGUCAAACCACUUUCAUCACUAAAAAUACAGGCACUGAUUGUUAUCAGGCUGACUAAUUUCUAAUUUCCAGUGAGUGAUCUUAUCCUACAUAUUACACAGGUAUAAUAUCUGUGACUGUACAUAACUGGAACUGUAUACUCAUUAAUAUGACAGUUUCUCUUUUUUGUGUGUUGUUCUGAAACCUGUACUGU